rnacentral:tRNA from 1 species
AGGUAUGGUGGCCGAGUAUAUGGCGAGUUGUAGCUCGUGUACGGGAAUUGUGCCCCCCAACCAA